rnacentral:lncRNA from 1 species
UGGCGGGAAAACGUAGAAGUUUUAUUACCACUGGAAUAAUUGUAAAAGAUGAUUUAGAAUGAUUUUAAUCAAUCAUUUUGAUUUAUUGAACAGACAAAAUAUAUAGUUGGAUUCAAGUGCUUGUCUCAAACUUAGUAUCGGUAGAGCGGUCACUGUUGUUUUGUGGUUUGUUUUAUGUAAAUGAAUCACAGUUAAAUAUGGCGACAUUUUAUAAAAA